rnacentral:rRNA from 1 species
ACAGAGGUGCCAAGCGUUAGGCGGAAUCACUGGGCUUAAAGCGUGUGUAGGCGGACCGUUAAGUGCUUUGUGAAAUCCCACGGCUCAACCGUGGAACUGCUUGGCAUACUGGCGGUCUUGAGCUGCCUAGGGGUCACUGGAACAAACGGUGGAGCGGUGAAAUGCGUAGAUAUCGUUUGGAACGCCCAAGGUGAAAACAGGUGACUGGGGGCAAGCUGACGCUGAGACACGAAAGCCAGGGGAGCAAACGGGAUUAGAUACCCCGGUAGUCCUGGCCCUAAACGAUGUCCACUAGAUCGCAGUGGCUCUGACGUCAUUGCGGUCGAAGCCAAAGUGCUAAGUGGACCGCCUGGGAAGUACGGUCGCAAGGCUA